rnacentral:rRNA from 1 species
CCUACGGGUGGCAGCAGUGAGGAAUAUUGGUCAAUGGCCGAAGGGCUGAACCAGCCAAGUCGCGUGAGGGAUGACGGUCCUAUGGAUUGUAAACCUCUUUUGUCAGGGAGCAAAUGGCUCCACGCGUGGCGUUUUCCGAGUUACUGGAGGAAAAGCAUCGGCUAACUCCGUUCCAGCAGCCGGCGUAAUUAGGAGGAUGCGAGCGUUAUCCGGAUUUUUUGGGUUUAAAGGGUGCGCAGGCGGAAUAACAAGUCAGCGGUAAAAUUUCGGGGCUCAACCCCGUCGUGCCGUUGAAACUGGCGUUCUUGAGUGAGCGAGAAGUAUGCGGAAUGCGUGGUGUAGCGGUGAAAUGCAUAGAUAUCACGCAGAACUCCGAUUGCGAAGGCAGCAUACCGGCGCUCAACUGACGCUCAUGCACGAAAGCGUGGGUAUCGAACAGGAUUAGAUACCCUUGUAGUC